rnacentral:sRNA from 1 species
CUGCCUCUCUGAUACUUGAAGUUUUCUGUUUACCCACAGAACCGGUAAAGCACAGGCAGCAGCAAUGCACUCUUCUCCAUGCUGCCCUGCCAGUACCUCAACCCUGAUCUGGCGGCACUAUCUCUAGGGAUCAGAGGGGAGUUCGGUUUCUAUGCACAGGCGACAAUUGAGCCUUC